rnacentral:rRNA from 1 species
UACGUAGGUGGCAAGCGUUGUCCGGAUUUACUGGGCGUAAAGAGCGCGUAGGUGGUCUGCUAAGUCUGGGGUGAAAUCUCCCGGCUCAACCGGGAGGGGUCUUCAGAUACUGGUGGACUUGAGGGUAGCAGAGGAAGGUGGAAUUCCGGGUGUAGUGGUGAAAUGCGUAGAUAUCCGGAGGAACACCAGUGGCGAAGGCGGCCUUCUGGGCUAUUCCUGACACUGAGGCGCGAAAGCGUGGGGAGCGAACCGG